AUGAACGCUGGCGGCGUGCCUAAUACAUGCAAGUCGAGCGAACGGACGAGAAGCUUGCUUCUCUGAUGUUAGCGGCGGACGGGUGAGUAACACGUGGAUAACCUACCUAUAAGACUGGGAUAACUUCGGGAAACCGGAGCUAAUACCGGAUGAUAUUUUGAACCGCAUGGUUCAAAAGUGAAAGACGGUCUUGCUGUCACUUAUAGAUGGAUCCGCGCUGCAUUAGCUAGUUGGUAAGGUAACGGCUUACCAAGGCAACGAUGCAUAGCCGACCUGAGAGGGUGAUCGGCCACACUGGAACUGAGACACGGUCCAGACUCCUACGGGAGGCAGCGUAGGGAAUCUUCCGCAAUGGGCGAAAGCCUGACGGAGCAACGCCGCGUGAGUGAUGAAGGUCUUCGGAUCGUAAAACUCUGUUAUUAGGGAAGAACAUAUGUGUAAGUAACUGUGCACAUCUUGACGGUACCUAAUCAGAAAGCCACGGCUAACUACGUG
rnacentral:rRNA from 1 species